rnacentral:lncRNA from 1 species
AUCAAUAUUUCAGAAAUCUCUAGGUGGCGGUAGCCACCCUGGCCCAAUCCUAAAGAACUCCCCCCAAAAAAUUGAAGAAGAGAGGUGACUGCUGCCUAACUAGCCCUGUUAAAAAUGUCCCAUGGGCCCCUAUGAAAAUUUCAUGGGGGCCCAUGAGAAUUUCAUGGGGACCCAUGGGGGCUCAUGGGUUCCCAUAGGGAGGAUCGGGGUGCCCAUGGGGAGGAUCGGGGUGCCCAUGGGGAGGACCGGGGUGCCCAUGGGGAGGAUCGGGGUGCCCAUGGGGAGGACCGGGGUGCCCAUGGGGAGGAGCGAAAAAAUCAAAGACCUCCGGCGCGGCCUCAAAAAUUGCAAGAAAGUUUCAAAAGAAACAUUGGAAGCAGUUAAUAAGGAAGAAACAUCAGAAGCAGUUAAGGAAGAAACAUCAGAAGCAGUUAAUAUGGAAACAUCAGAAGCAGUUAAAAAUGAAACAUUGGAAGCCGUUCAGGAAGAAAGCUAAGUAGGAAAGCUAAGUUGGGUACUUAGCGACUACUCAUUUGUACGUAUCACACUGCAGUUUCUUAAAAUAGUUCAUAGCACCCAACAUAGGUGAUGUUCACCGCAAGAAAAGAUUUUUCAAAUAUUAUAAUACCAUUAAUUUUUAAUCAUUUUGUAAAAGAAGUUUCCAAUUUCAUUUUGCUGUACUUUUAUAAUACAUUUCAUAGACAUAUCAAUAUGAUUCAUUUCAUUUUAAACUAAAAAAUAAAAUUUGACGUAUUUCUGCCAAAAGGAACUAUGUGCAUUAAGACAUAAACCCUGAGACCCAUAAGACUUAUUGCAUAACAGAGCUCACGUCAUAAUGCACCUAGUUUUGUUUGGCAGAAAUACGUGCAAAUGUCCAUAGGGGCACAUGUUAAAUCGGCCUCUGUGGGAAUCGAACCUCUCAUGAUUGCCCAUGAAAUUUGUUGUCUGUACGGGGAACCGUGGUUUUUCACAGGCCUGAAUAUCAUGUGCCCCAUGGGAUACGUCAUUCCCAUGUGCUCCCAUGGGGACACUUACUGCCCAUAGGCCCCAUGGGGAGACCACGUUCCCAUGGGCCCCCAUGGGGAGACCUCGUUCCCAUGGGCCCCCAUGGGGAGACCUCGUUCCCAUGGGCCCCCUGAGUAAUUCGCGUCCCAAAUUACCAUGGGCAAUUUUUCUGAAUAUUGCACAUGGGACAUUUUUAACAGGGAGGUACAAGCGAGAAAUCUGAAUCGGGCUCGCCUGCACAGUUUGCGGCCUAUUUACCUCUCCUCCUAGUCAAGUCGUGGAGUAAAACCCUAUAGUUU